rnacentral:rRNA from 1 species
GUGGGGAAUUUUGGACAAUGGGCGCAAGCCUGAUCCAGCAAUGCCGCGUGCAGGAAGAAGGCCUUCGGGUUGUAAACUGCUUUUGUACGGAACGAAACGGUCCGGGUUAAUACCCUGGGCUAAUGACGGUACCGUAAGAAUAAGCACCGGCUAACUACGUGCCAGCAGCCGCGGUAAUACGUAGGGUGCAAGCGUUAAUCGGAAUUACUGGGCGUAAAGCGUGCGCAGGCGGUUUUGUAAGACAGGCGUGAAAUCCCCGGGCUCAACCUGGGAAUUGCGAUUGUGACUGCAAGGAUGGAGUGCGGCAGAGGGGGAUGGAAUUCCGCGUGUAGCAGUGAAAUGCGUAGAUAUGCGGAGGAACACCGAUGGCGAAGGCAAUCCCCUGGGCCUGCACUGACGCUCAUGCACGAAAGCGUGGGGAGCAAACAGGAUUAGAAACCCCAGUAGUCC